GUGGGGAAUAUUGGACAAUGGGGGGAACCCUGAUCCAGCCAUGCCGCGUGUGUGAAGAAGGCCUUUUGGUUGUAAAGCACUUUAAGCGAGGAGGAGGCUACCGAGAUUAAUACUCUUGGAUAGUGGACGUUACUCGCAGAAUAAGCACCGGCUAACUCUGUGCCAGCAGCCGCGGUAAUACAGAGGGUGCAAGCGUUAAUCGGAUUUACUGGGCGUAAAGCGCGCGUAGGUGGCCAAUUAAGUAAAAUGUGAAAUCCCCGAGCUUAACUUGGGAAUUGCAUUCGAUACUGGUUGGCUAGAGUAUGGGAGAGGAUGGUAGAAUUCCAGGUGUAGCGGUGAAAUGCGUAGAGAUCUGGAGGAAUACCGAUGGCGAAGGCAGCCAUCUGGCCUAAUACUGACACUGAGGUGCGAAAGCAUGGGGAGCAAACAGGAUUAGAUACCCCGGUAGUCC
rnacentral:rRNA from 1 species